AGUGAACGCUGGCGGUAGGCCUAACACAUGCAAGUCGAACGGCAGCACAGUAAGAGCUUGCUCUUACGGGUGGCGAGUGGCGGACGGGUGAGGAAUACAUCGUACUCUACUUUUUCGUGGGAGAUAACGUAGGGAAACUUACGCUAAUACCGCAUACGACCUACGGGUGAAAGCAGGGGAUCUUCGGACCUUGCGCGAUUGAAUGAGCCGAUGUCGGAUUAGCUAGUUGGCGGGGUAAAGGCCCACCAAGGCGACGAUCCGUAGCUGGUCUGAGAGGAUGAUCAGCCACACUGGAACUGAGACACGGUCCAGACUCCUACGGGAGGCAGCAGUGGGGAAUAUUGGACAGUGGGCGCAAGCCUGAUCCAGCCAUACCGCGUGGGUGAAGAAGGCCUUCGGGUUGUAAAGCCCUUUUGUUGGGAAAGAAAAGCAGCAGGUUAAGACCCCGCUGUUCUGACGGUACCCAAAGAAUAAGCACCGGCUAACUUCGUG
rnacentral:rRNA from 1 species